GAUGAAGAUCUAGUGGCGAACGGGUGCGUAACACGUGAGCAACCUACCCCGAAGACCGGGAUAACACCGGGAAACCGAUGCUAAUACCGGAUGUCCCCAUGAGCCCGCAUGAGCACAUGAGGAAAGGAACCCGCUUUGGGUGGGGCUCGCGGCCUAUCAGCUUGUAGGUGCGGUAACGGCCCACCAAGGCGACGACGGGUAGCUGGUCUGAGAGGACGAUCAGCCACACUGGGACUGAGACACGGCCCACACUCCUAACGGGGGCAGCAGUAGGGAAUCUUGCGCAAUGGGCGAAAGCCUGACGCAACAACGCCGUGUGGGGGAAUAAAGCCCUUCGGUUGUAAACUCCCUUUCAGCGGGGACCGAAAAUGACGGGUACCCGGAGAAAAAGGCCCCGCCCAACUACGUGCCCACCAGCCGCCGGAAUCCCUAGUUGAAUUCCCCGGCCGG
rnacentral:rRNA from 1 species